rnacentral:piRNA from 1 species
UUCGAUUCCCGGCCAAUGCAACUU